GAAUGAAUUUAAUAUGCAGUGAAACAAAAAAAAAGUAUGGUAUUGUUCUGAAUAAUAUGUAGAAAAUAUUGAUGAGACAUUAAAAAACUUCCAAAGAAAUACUUUUAGGACAUAAUUUCGUAGAACAGCGUCUCAGCUUUCCAAUGGAAGUUAUGUAGCAUACUUUUUAAGAGUUUUACGAAAGAUAUAGAAAUAUGAUAUUGAAAAACGAAUUAUACCUCCUGUUAAUAGUGCCAUACAGUUCAGCGAGCCCCUCGGCGCCCAUACAGCAAAUCAACAUCAACAAACCGCGCCCUUCGCCUUCUCGAGGGAUUGGCACGAAUAUCGGUCACGGACAAGACAGUCAGAUAGGAAGAAAGAAAAAAAGUCAAGUCAUUCGGUAAAAAGUAGCGUAAGCUAGAACACAUUUUCACAAUUGUUAUAAAUUAACCCAAUUCUCAAAUUAAAUAAUUGUUCCCAUUUCUAACUAAAUCAACCCUAACUGUACUGUGGUAAGUUUAAUUAUAUUAGAUAUUUAUAAAUACCUAAAAUUGAACCUAAAAGGAAUUAAAGCUACGGUACGGACAGAGUUAGUGCGGGUAGGAAACAGUACGGAUACAAUUGAUACGGAGAAACAGUACGGAUCGAAGACUGUGCGAACAAUACCAUUAGGAGCACAUUUAAAUUAUAAUUUAAAUAGACUUCGAAACCGAACAGGUCAUUAAGGACACAGACUGAUUACUGUACGGGUACGAUUUAGACAGCUCUGUACGGCAGCGAAAACAUUAACAGAAUUUAUAAUCCAACCUUGAUUCACAACGAAUAAAGAAGAUUCAUAGAUUUGCUAGUUUUCACUGCUGUCCGG